rnacentral:rRNA from 1 species
UACACUCCUGCGGGAGGCAGCAGUGGGGAAUAUUGCACAAUGGGCGGAAGCCUGAUGCAGCAACGCCGCGUGCGGGAUGACGGCCUUCGGGUUGUAAACCGCUUUCGCCUGUGACGAAGCGUGAGUGACGGUAAUGGGUAAAGAAGCACCGGCUAACUACGUGCCAGCAGCCGCGGUGAUACGUAGGGUGCGAGCGUUGUCCGGAUUUAUUGGGCGUAAAGGGCUCGUAGGUGGUUGAUCGCGUCGGAAGUGUAAUCUUGGGGCUUAACCCUGAGCGUGCUUUCGAUACGGGUUGACUUGAGGAAGGUAGGGGAGAAUGGAAUUCCUGGUGGAGCGGUGGAAUGCGCAGAUAUCAGGAGGAACACCAGUGGCGAAGGCGGUUCUCUGGGCCUUUCCUGACGCUGAGGAGCGAAAGCGUGGGGAGCGAACAGGCUUAGAUACCCCUGUAGUCCC